rnacentral:lncRNA from 1 species
UUAGAAUCAGAGAUGGAGAGGUUAGAAUCAGAGAUGAGAGGUUAGAAUCAGAGAUGGAGAGUUUAGAAUCAGAGAUGGAGAGGUUAGAAUCAGAGAUGGAGAGGAUAGAAUCAGAGAUGGAGAGAAUAGUACGUAGAGAAAGAAGAGAAGGAGAAAGAGUUGAAGGGGCGAGACGGCAACGGACAAGACUGCAGAAAGAGAGAGAGGCUUAACAGUGGGGGAUGAAGGUUGAGAGGAAGUUCUUUAAAUAUGAAAAUUGUGAGAUCAACUUUAUGAAUAAAAUAUACAAAGUGAGAAAGACGAUGAUGGAGAAUGAAAGGAGGAAGAUGAAUGAGGUUAUGGCAGAGAAUAAGAAUAAAGAAUAAAAGAUGGAGAGAGAGACAGAUGGAGAAAGAGAUGAAGGGCCUGAAGGAGGAGAGGAGGAAGAUAAGAGAGCGUAGUAAGAAAGCGACAGUGGAGAGAGUGGUGUUGAGAGAGAGAGAGAGAUAGACAAGCGUUAGGAGGACAGUUGUGGGAGACAGUGUGAGACAGAGACAAAGGAGAGAGGACAGAGAAAGGGAGAAAGAGAUGGAGGAUGACCCCAGAGAGAGGAUGACCCCAGAGAGAGGAUGGUCCCAGAGAGAGGAUGACCCCAGAGAGAGUAUGACCCCAGAGAGAGGAUGGCCCCAGAGAGAGGAUGACCCCAGAGAGAGGAUGACCCCAGAGAGAGGAUGACCCCAGAGAGAGGAUGGCCCCAGAGAGAGGAUGACCCCAGAGAGAGGAUGACCCCAGAGAGAGGAUGGCCCCAGAGAGAGGAUGACCCCAGAGAGAGGAUGGCCCCAGAGAGAGGAUGACCCCAGAGAGAGUAUGACCCCAGAGAGAGGAUGACCCCAGAGAGAGGAUGACCCCAGAGAGAGUAUGGCCCCAGAGAGAGGAUGACCCCAGAGAGAGGAUGACCCCAGAGAGAGGAUGACCCCAGAGAGAGGAUGACCCCAGAGAGAGGAUGACCCCAGAGAGAGGAUGACCCCAGAGAGAGGAUGACCCCAGAGAGAGUAUGACCCCAGAGAGAGGAUGACCCCAGAGAGAGGAAGAAUGAGAGCAGAAGACAUGCAUUUGAGGGAGACCAUUGGUAUCCUUCAGAAGGAGAUGAGGCCGGUUCAUGGCCAUGCAGGUGUGAUCAUGCCUGGUGAGACAUGUGACAUCACAGGGAAGAAGGUGAGACUGUAUCGGCCUCCCAAAAUGGAACCCUUUGCCCUACACAGUGCACUACUUUUGACCAGAGCAAAAAUUGUGCACUAUGUCAGAAAUAGGGUGCUAUUUGGGACUGAGAUAUUGGAGCUGGAAUGGUAACGCCACAGGCCCAUAAAGACGUUUCAGACUUGUCUUUUUAGUUGGAGACCAAUUAUUCUAUCACAUUACCAUGGCAAUGAACAGAGACAGACAGGAACUCACUAAGAGACUGGCCUACCAGGG